rnacentral:rRNA from 1 species
AGAGCGAACGCUGGCGGCAGGCUUAACACAUGCAAGUCGAGCGGGCGUAGCAAUACGUCAGCGGCAGACGGGUGAGUAACGCGUGGGAACAUACCUUUUGGUUCGGAACAACCCAGGGAAACUUGGGCUAAUACCGGAUAAGCCCUUACGGGGAAAGAUUUAUCGUCGAAAGAUCGGCCCGCGUCUGAUUAGCUAGUUGGUGAGGUAAUGGCUCACCAAGGCGACGAUCAGUAGCUGGUCUGAGAGGAUGAUCAGCCACAUUGGGACUGAGACACUGCCCAAACUCCUACGGGAGGCAGCAGUGGGAAUAUUGGACAAUGGGCGCAAGCCUGAUCCAGCCAUGCCGCGUGAGUGAUGAAGGCCCUAGGGUUGUAAAGCUCUUUUGUGCGGGAAGAUAAUGACGGUACCGCAAGAAUAAGCCCGGCUAACUUCGCGCCAGCAGCCGC